AAUCACGUUAGUAAAACAUUUCAGAUCAAUUCAAAUUUCCCUCCCUGAACUCAAGCCUCCACCGUCGCCCCGGAAUCCGUUGCCGGCGGUGGCGGAGCCUGAACUACCAAAUCCAGAUACCAAACUUCUCAUACGUACGCCCUGAAUUCGAAUCCUUGCUCAAAUUCCCCAUACUCAUCAUUAAUUAAUCGAAUCAGAGCAACUUCUCCAUGAACCAUAGGCAGUAAGACUUAAAUUAAAGUCUCCUUACCUAGAAUCGAAGCCCUAGGGAUUGGGGCUCUGAUUCCAAUCACCUCCAGCUAUGUUACAGUAACCAGUUCAAUAUGAAACAAUGAAUAAACCAACCUACUCGCCGGAGACGACGAAGAGAGAAGCAAUCCCGGUGUGUUGUUGGACUUUCCUUUAUAGAUCCAUUAUCAAUUUCAUGAGCUGAAGAUGGAUUCACUGACGGCUUCGACGGUGAAGUGUGCUUCUGCAAUAUUGAAGACAAAACAGCUGGACUUCUUGGUGGUGAUGAUGCAAGGCAAAAUGGUAACAGUGCCACUACUUGCAAGUCUGUCAUGGUGCAUGGUCUAUCCAUGAUGCUGCCGUGUAUUUUGAGGCCUACAGGGCAAUGAUGUGUAGUUUUUUGUACUGAAGAAAAUGCUAUCCAUAAUGAAGGUAUAUGUUGCUGCUACAUGAUGAUGAACUGAGCACAUACCAACCAUUUCCCUGUUGCUGUUUUGUAGGUCUGCUGCAGAAUUUUGGACAGACAUGUGGCAUUGUAUCAUGAUGAUAUGUUGCAGACAGUAUCAUGGAUGGUACAAUGUUGUAUGUAGACUGAUGUAACCUUCAAUUGGCAUUAUGAGAUGUUGUUGCAAGGCAAGGUUGGAGUAGAGAUUACUCAUAUUAUGAUGGUACAAGGGGUGUUGAUGCAGAGAUGUAUUGGAUGUGAUGCAGAAUCUUGAAUGACCUGCUACACCAGGCCUGAGCCAAGGCAACGCAAGGCAUGGCAAAGUUUUAAAGCAUAACCGUAAAACCGACUUUGGCACAAAAUGAAGUUUCUUACAUAUGAAGCAAGUUAAUGAUGGAACCACAUGUAAUAAUGGAGAUGCAAUGUACAUUAGGGUUUUAGGGGAUAAAAAGUAGGCUAGUUGACUUUGGUCAACUGGUUGACCAAAAAGUCAACACUUGGCCAAAAGUCAACUUAUGCAAAUAUGUAAUUUUCUUUGUAAUUUUUCCAAUGGAAACAUGUAUGGACAAUGUAAUCAAUGAAUUUUAUGAAUGAAAUGCCUCGGUGAAAAA